AAUGGAGUAAAAAAAUUCCAAGGUAGCAGUAUCAGGAUCAGUGGUCCAGAACAGACUUUUUUUAUAAUACUUGGAUCUUUUAUAUAAUGUUUUAUUUUUUUCUAACAAAAAAAAAAAACCGAAAAAAAACUUACUUUAAGUUUCCAUUAAUUCACCAGAGCCAGAUUAAGUUUAGAGCCUAGAGGCUCAGGCUUUAAAUUUUAAAAUGUUGAAGGCCUUUUUUUUUCUUUGACCGGACCUAUUAUCUCCAG